rnacentral:lncRNA from 10 species
CCCCACCCCACUUGACUCUGGCCAUACUUAUUCUCAGCUGUCCCUUUGCCAACCUGCUCCCUAGUUCAGGAUUCUUAACCCACAGAUAAUAUCAUUAGACCCAAACAUCAGCAGUGGAGGGAGGUGGGAUGGCAGAGGACUAGUUUAGUGGACACAGAGAUGGCACCAGGCCCUUGGGUGGCAUCACCAUCAGCUGGGGGUGGAGAACACUGUUCUGGGUGGGGCAGUUCUUGGCUGUCACGGGUGCUGAGCCUCUUCAGGAGCUUCUCUUUGGAACUCUGACAUGGUAGCCGAAGGGAUGGAGUUUGAAUGAGGUAACGAUCAAGAGGGAAAGACUCGUCGAUUGACCCUGUCACCCGCCUCACUGCAUCUCUAACAGGCCUGUAGCCCUGUAAACGUGAGGAGCAGCUCAGGGUUGACAGAGGGCCAUUGCCUCCCUUUUUCUGUCACUUCCUCCAUUGCCUCAACCCCUGUCCAGAAGAGCGCACCUUCAUUCAACAAGCAUGGAUCAAGCACUCGUGACGUGCCAGCCAGGGCGCUGGGGAAAUGAUGAGGGUUGGGUUCCGUGGUGGCCGACACCCAGCCCCUCCUCCACAGUGCCUGUCUCCUUGCUGGUAUCUUGGCAGGCUCCCGUUCUCCCAUCAGACGCUACACUCACACAUGCUGCACAUACUGGUGAAUAGCUUCUUGCAGUCCAUCCUGGCACGGUCCCCAAAUUCCGCAGGGAACAGGGUGUGCUUCAGCCCUCUCCCUCUCUCACUAAGGGCUAGGAAGUUUUGAGUCUUCCAUCUCACACACCCCAGAGGCUGCGUUGCCGAGAAGACACAGGGGCAAUGUGAGGCCUUCUUAUUCCUGACCCACGAGAACGAUGCCAAGUUGGGGACAAGAAGGGUAGAGGCUUGUUUUGCUUUCAUUCCUGCUUUAUGCCAGGCACUCUGAAAGGCAUUGUGUACACUAUUUUCAUCAUCAGACAAUAGCCCAUAAUACUUUGUCUGACAUCUGACAAAGAACGAUCAGCCUCAUUUUACAGAUGGUGAAACUGAAGGAGCAUGUUCAUGUUCAUACAGCACAAAGUGGCUCUGGGAUUUCAACCCAUAGAGGAGUGUUAGAAUAAUACCCUCACAAAUUCAAUGUUGAAAGUGCUAAUGAAGUCCGGGCGCGGUGCCUCAUGCCUGUAAUCCCAGCACUUUGGGAGGCCAAGGCGGGCAGAUCACCUGAGGUCAAGAGUUUGAGACCAGCCUGACCAACAUGGAGAAACCCCGUCUCUACUAAAAAUACAAAAUUAUCCGGGCGUGGUAGCACAUGCCUGUAGUCCCAGCUACUUGGGAGGCUGAGGCAGGAGAAUUGCUUGAACUUGGGAGGUGGAGGUUGCAGUGAGCUGAGAUUGCGCCACUGCACUCCAGCCUGGGCGACAGAGCGAGACUCCAUCUCAAAAAAUAAAUAAAUAAAUAAUAAAUAAAUAAAAUAAAAAAAGUGCUAAUGAGACAGAAAAGGGCACUGAAAGAUCCGGUCACCCAGGGACCUCUCAAUUGCUCAGAUUUGGAGAAGGUGGGGAGAGAAGAUUGCGUCAAACAGACCUGAGAUCCGAUCCCAGCUCAGUCAUUUCCAGCUGUGUGACCUUGGCAAUGGAUGGCGCCUCUCCUUCCAUCCUCUACAGAAGGAGGAAGAGACAGAUGUUUAAAGUGGAAAUAAGAGAAUUGGAGUUCUGAAAAUGUGAGAAUCAAAUCUACAGCCCCAUUUGUUCAGUGACUUCCUAUCUCCACCCCGUGAAGUUCACCAGAGGCACCGAGGGAACUUGCCCAGAUGGUUGUGGUGGCAUUGUCCCUGGUGUGUGAGGAAUUUUGGAGAAUACAAGAGGUGUAAAACUACUGUAGAUGAAAAUAGGAGGUUCUAAUCUUUAAGAAGAGGGAAAGAUAUUUUCAAAAUUCUGGGGUUUCAUUACCACAACUGUUGUGGAAGGUUAGAGAAAAAAAGAGGGACCAUCAGGAGCUAGAUGGGGUUCACUAAUUAAUCCCCGACUACUCAAGUGAGAAUGGGCAUCACCUGGGAGACUGUCAGAACGUCAAGAGGAUCCCACUCCACUCCGCACCUGUGAAUCACAGUUUGCACUUAACAAGAGGCAUAGAUGAGUCAAAUGUACAUUCAAGACCAAGAUGCACACCAUAACCUGUUCGUUUUUGUUUGUUUGUUUGUUUGUUUUUGAGACGGUCUUGCUCUGUCACCCAGGCUGGAGUGCAAUGGCGCGAUCUCAGCUCACUGCAACCUCUGUCUCCCGGGUUCAAGCGAUUGUCCUGCCUCCACUUCGUGAGUAACUGGAAUUACAGGGGUGCAUCACCAUGCCUGGCUAAUUUUUGUAUUUUUAGUAGAGACAAGAUUUCACCAUGUUGAGGCUAGUCCCGAACUCCUGAGCUCGUGAUCUGCCCUCCUCAGCCUCCCAAAGGGCUGGGAUUACAGGUGUGAGCCACUGUGCCCAGCCCGUAACCUGUUCUUCAACCCUAUAAGUAGGUGAGUGAUUGUAAAGGUGCCAUGGAAAGCUAAAAGUUCCUUCAGGAACCUCUUCCUCCAGGAGAGGAUUGGAGGGGCACUGUGCAGGGCGGGGUUCUGCCUCCUUUGCCCCAUGGUUUCGUUCACUUGUUUUACACAGUGGGCUUCCAACUAAACUUUCCUUUGAAGAGCCGGGCCACAGCCAAAGAUGUUUGAAAAUCGUCUGUGCUGUGUUAUGGAACAUCUGUGCUAUGGAAUGUUGCACAGCCUUACGAGGCAUGAACUGGAUCUGGGCCCACUGACAGAAUGGUCCCAGAGACAAAUUGUUUAGUGAAAAAAGCAAGUCUCAGGCCGGGCAUGGUGGCUCACAUCUGUAAUCCCAGUGCUUUGGGAGGCCAAGGCGGGCAGGUCACCUGAAGUCAGGAGUUCGAGACGAGCCUGGCCAACAUGGUGAAACCCUGUCUCUACUAAAAAUACAAAAAUUAGUUGAGUGUGGUGGCAGGUGCCUCUAAUUCCAGCUACUUGGAUGGCUGAGACACAAGAAUCGCUUGAACCAGGAAGGUGGAGGUUGCAGUGAGCCGAGAUCACACCACUGCACUCUAGCCUGGGUGACAGAGUGAGACUCCAUCUCAAAAAAAAAAAAAAAGAAAAAAAAGAAAGAAAGCAAAAAGCAAAAAGCAGCCGCCAGGCACAGUGGCUCACGCCUAUAAUCUCAGCACUUUGGGAGGUCAAGUCGGGUGGAUUACCUGAGGUCGGAAGUUCAAGACCAGCCCAACCAACAUGGAGAAACCCCGUUUCUACUAAAAAUACAAAAUUAGGACCGGGCGUGGUGGUUCACGC